ACGAACGCUGGCGGCGUGGAUAAGACAUGCAAGUCGAACGGGAGAAUUGCUAGCUUGCUAAUAAUUCUCUAGUGGCGCACGGGUGAGUAACACGUGAGUAACCUGCCUCUUAGUGGGGGAUAGCCCUGGGAAACCGGGAUUAAUACCGCAUACGAUUGAAAGAUCAAAGCAGCAAUGCGCUAGGAGAUGGGCUCGCGGCCUAUUAGUUAGUUGGUGAGGUAACGGCUCACCAAGGCGAUGACGGGUAGCCGGUCUGAGAGGAUGUCCGGCCACACUGGAACUGAGACACGGUCCAGACACCUACGGGUGGCAGCAGUCGAGAAUCAUUCACAAUGGGGGCAACCCUGAUGGUGCGACGCCGCGUGGGGGAAUGAAGGUCUUCGGAUUGUAAACCCCUGUCAUGUGGGAGCAAAUUAAAAAGAUAGUACCACAAGAGGAAGAGACGGCUAACUCUGUGCCAGCAGCCGCGGUAAUACAGAGGUCUCAAGCGUUGUUCGGAAUCACUGGGCGUAAAGCGUGCGUAGGCUGUUUCGUAAGUCGUGUGUGAAAGGCAGGGGCUCAACCCCUGGAUUGCACAUGAUACUGCGAGACUAGAGUAAUGGAGGGGGAACCGGAAUUCUCGGUGUAGCAGUGAAAUGCGUAGAUAUCGAGAGGAACACUCGUGGCGAAGGCGGGUUCCUGGACAUUAACUGACGCUGAGGCACGAAGGCCAGGGGAGCGAAAGGGAUUAGAUACCCCUGUAGUCCUGGCAGUAAACGGUGCACGCUUGGUGUGCGGGGAAUCGACCCCCUGCGUGCCGGAGCUAACGCGUUAAGCGUGCCGCCUGGGGAGUACGGUCGCAAGAUUAAAACUCAAAGAAAUUGACGGGGACCCGCACAAGCGGUGGAGUAUGUGGCUUAAUUCGAUGCAACGCGAAGAACCUUACCUGGGCUUGACAUGUAAUGAACAACAUGUGAAAGCAUGCGACUCUUCGGAGGCGUUACACAGGUGCUGCAUGGCCGUCGUCAGCUCGUGUCGUGAGAUGUUUGGUUAAGUCCAGCAACGAGCGCAACCCCUGUUGCCAGUUACCAUCGAGUAAUGUCGGGGACUCUGGCGAGACUGCCCAGAUCAACUGGGAGGAAGGUGGAGACGACGUCAGGUCAGUAUGGCCCUUAUGCCCAGGGCUGCACACGUACUACAAUGCCCAGUACAGAGGGGGCCGAAGCCGCGAGGCGGAGGAAAUCCUGAAAACUGGGCCCAGUUCGGACUGUAGGCUGCAACCCGCCUACACGAAGCCGGAAUCGCUAGUAAUGGCGCAUCAGCUACGGCGCCGUGAAUACGUUCCCGGGUCUUGUACACACCGCCCGUCACAUCAUGGAAGCCGGUCGCACCCGAAGUAUCUGAAGCCAACCGCAAGGAGGCAGGGUCCUAAGGUGAGACUGGUAACUGGGAUG
rnacentral:rRNA from 1 species